rnacentral:rRNA from 1 species
UACGGAGGAUGCGAGCGUUAUCCGGGUUUAUUGGGUUUAAAGGGUGCGCAGGCGGCACGGCAAGCCGGCGGUCAAAUCGCGGGGCUCGACCCCGCCCAGCCGUCGGAACUGCCGGGCUAGAGUGGGCGAGAAGUGCGCGGAAUGCGUGGUGUAGCGGUGAAAUGCAUAGAUAUCACGCAGAACUCCGAUUGCGAAGGCAGCGCACCGGCGCCCUACUGACGCUCAGGCACGAAAGCGUGGGUAUCGAACAGG